UUAUUACUCCCUCCGUUCGGAAGUACUUGUCGCAGAAAUGGAUGUAUCUAGAUGUAUUUUAGUUCUAGAUACAUCCAUAUCCGAGACAAGUAAUUCCGAACGGAGGGAGAACUAA
rfam:Triticum urartu cultivar G1812 contig279494, whole genome shotgun sequence.